AGCUGGCAAAGCAGCCAACCAACAGAAUAUGGACCGAGACAGGUCUGAAUACAAGUCUCACUGGACCGGGAACCCCGGUGCUCCAACCACUAUUUGCCCCACUGAUGUGACAACAACAGAAAGGAGCUUCUUGAUGGAAACCAGCGUGUCCACUGGUGAGGCUAACGUUCCUGUGAGCUGGGGCCAGGAAAAGGCAGCAGACAAAGGGAACAGUCAGCCAAGUAGAGUUUGCUGGAGAUUUACGUGGAAACCUCCUCACAGAGGCAGUGCUGCUGGAUUUAUAACAAGGAUGAUAUCAUCCAAACUCGCCGGCAUCCCCAUAGAGGACUUUGAAGAUUACGACUGUCUUCUGUUACUCAGUCUUCCUCUGUCCAUGCUUUCCAUAUUCCUGGUGCAGACGAGGCAGAAACCGGGAUCACUUUUUUGCUUGGAGGAAAUCUGUACGAAUGGGCAGUCCCUAAUAUUACCACGUCACAGAAUGGCAGGCCUGGAAGGGAGCUCUGAGGUCAACCUGUCCAGCUCCUUCGUGGUGCAGAUGGGGAAACUGAGGACCAGGUGGUAAGUAACCCCACCAAAGCCCAACAAUUAUUUGUUGAUGAGCUGGACUGCAGCACAGACCUUGGGACUCUUAGUCCAGUGCUCUGUGAGCUGAUUUUCUUCAGAAGUUGAGCUGUCCCAAGGAUUCAGAUCCCUUAGAAUAUAUGCAGUGUCUUAGUCGGGAACACAGAAUUGGGAAUCACAAUGACAUGGAUUUCAGUCCAAGCCCCCUACUUGACAUCUCGGUGACCUUAGGUAAUUUACACUACCUCUAAGCAUCUCAGUUUACUCAUCUGCAAAAAAAAAAAAAGGUUCUAGGGUUACCUUAUAGAAUAGGCCCAUCUCUUUAUAAGGCGGCGUGCACGUGAAGCUUGUGUGAAGGCCUGCCAUACAGCAGGAGCUCGGUGGCAACAAUGAUGGUGGUGAUGGUGGUGACAACAUUGUCGUUGAUGAUGGUUUUAAUGAUGGUUUUCUACCCUGCUACUUUCGUCCACUCUUCGCUAAAAGGGUGCAAGCCCAUCUUCUCUGAUCUUAAGAUUUGGCCAUAACAAAAUAUGGCCAAAAUGACUCAAGGUGAACACCAAAUUGAAACACUUGGCUAAAAAGAGGUGGUUCUAACUCUUAGUUAGAUAUAAAUUGACUGCAUUUAAGUUUGUUAAAUGUUAAUGUGCUGCCAGCAGCCUCCAAUCUAAUGGAACUGAUGUCUAGCUCCUGCAGUAGAAAAACUACUGAAGAGAGACUCAUUUGUUUUUCUUCUCUUUCCAAGUCUCUUCUCACCUCUGCCUGAAAAUAUAAAGAACCUUCGGUCCCCAAAUUAAUUAAGGAGUAAAAACGAAAGUGAAGCCUUACUUUAAAUCCAGCUCUCAGCAAGGGUGAGAGGAACACUUGGUGGGUUCCACAGUUAAGGAUGCUUAUUGUAUGACGUUCUCCCCUUCCUCUGUCUGCCAGCUUUGAACAAGGUAGGAAACGUGAGGCAGAGAGGACCUUGGGUUCCAUAGUUUCUAGGGGCCUGCUCAGACAACAUA
rnacentral:lncRNA from 1 species